rnacentral:lncRNA from 1 species
ACAAACAGCUUAUGUAGAAAAGUUUAAAUUGAAAACAACGCACGAAGCUGUAACUCAAAUUGUGAUUAUCAGUUAAGUAAUUGGAAUGUUCAGUCAGACCUCAUCAUUGGUCCUAGAUUUAUUAAUUGAGAUUUCUCUUCCCCAAGGUUCUGCUUCAGCUGAUUGUUUUCCUUCCUUCACUUCAUUCUGUUCUCCACUAAGGUCUUUUGCCUCUAAGUACUCCUUAGGUGGUUUAGUUGAUAUCAUAACCUUUCUUUUCAAGGAUUCUGGCGAGGGAAACUCUCUUAGACCGUCUGAUCCAGGUACGAACAGCAUAUCUCCAAAUGUUUCAUUAAUCAUCUAAGAUUUUUUAGACAUUGCAAAUGUUAGCAGUAGAGCAAUGAAAGUACUAGUUACUCUCUGUCCAAAGUGCAAUUUUACACACCUCAGCUACUUUAGCUUGAAGAUGCCGAGGAAGAUGGUCUUCAAGUGUGAUAACAACAGGAUACUCGGAUGCAGAGAAUGCAUGCUCUUUAAUAGACCUCAAGCAUUUGAUGAGUUGCACAGGAGUUGUCAGCGUCCUGUAUAAGAAAGUAGAUAUCUUGGCUAAUUACAACUUCAUUUCCAACUUGGAACCAAUUAAUGUCCGACUCAAAAAGAAUCCAUACACAAAUUGAGUUAAUUUCUUCGAUGAAGAUCAGUACCUUCCAUGCAGGACAUCAACAUCAUCUUUUGUGGAAUUAGGCCAUAUAUCCAAUUCGAUUACUCUCACACCAUUCUGGAGUGCAUUUAUUAUAGGGACAUCGCUGCAGUCACUACUUAGCUGAUUCCCAGUCAAAUAAGAAUUAUGCCCGGUAUAUAUAUAGUAAUGAGACAAUGGAUCAUGCAUAUCAUGAUGAACCUGUUUUGUUUGAAACAAAAAACCCACCUCAUAAUCAUUUAAAAAAAAAAUCAACUCUGAUGCUUAGAAAUUGAUAUAAAUGGAGAAGAAAUGGAAUUACCCCGCGACGAGGAUCAAUAGGAGGAUUAAUAUCUCCAAAAAGAUACUUGAAAAAUUGCUCAAGAUUAAGACCGCUGCGAUGGAAAAUGUUGAGGUGUUUAGGCUCAUGAAGGCUAUUUAUGAUGGCUCCAGCAUCCUCCACCGUGGCAUUCUCUUGCUUUUGAACUUCAACCAAGAAACGAUGGAGGUUAUCAACGCUUAUGGUCCCGUUUUCGGAGUAGCGGUCGAAUAUGGACUUGAUUUCAGCCGGGGCCUCUGCAGAAGCCAGCUUGAACCUUCGCCGGCAACAAAAGCAUACUCUGUAGGUCUGUUUAGACAUGCGAUUGGAUUUUGGAUUUACGUCAACUAAAAGUGAAAGAAGAGAAGAGGAGUAGAGUUGAUUAUGGAUGUUGAGGAUUGAGGAUCUUAGGUGUUUUUUUUUAUCAAGGAUGGGAUUUGAGGAUAGCUUUGCUUGUGAAGAUGGGAAGGCAUUUCCGGAGAUUGGACCGGGCAAAGUUCACUGUCGAACUCGGAACCAAAUCCAACCAACCGAACUUUUUCCUACAGGGAAAAAAAAAAAAAGAAAAGAAAAGAAAAAGAUAACGAUUCUGGUUUGGGAAACCUUUCAAUCGUUGGAUUUUGUUUGUGGAUAAAGGUCGGGUUCUGGUAAGGUUGCAAUAUCCUGCAAUUCUGGAACGUCCCCAACCUUUACGCUUUACUUCUUAUUGGUCCAGCUCUGGUGGUGAGCUGUGAGGUCAUUGUUGAUUGUUUCUCCUUUUUGUCUCCAUGCAUACAGCUGGUUGCCCCGCUGGGCCGGCCACCAUUGGAUCAAAGAAAAUUGUGUCUAAUUCAGUCAAUCAAUCAAUGAGGCCCUCCACCUCAUUAUCGAGUGGAGGAGUGUCACCAAUGAACAACCCCAAUUAAAUCCCAUUACUUGCAAAGAUAAUCACAUUUCAUUUCACGUAUUUUUUUGUCAUCUAAGGAGUAAUAAUUAAAGAGUAAAUUUCAUAUGCACUAUAAGUAUACACACUAUCACGAAUAAAUGGAUGACACGUAAUCAAAUUUUACACAUGUAUUAUAUAUUUAAUAGUGAUAGUGUAUAUAAGAUUAAUUCAUGAUUAAAUCCCAUUACUUACAAAGAAUAUCAUAUUCACGUACCCCUUUUGUCAUCUAAAGAGUAAUAAUUAAACAUUAAAGAGCCUUUUUUUGGGAUAAUUUCAGAAACCGUCCCUAAUAUUUUUGACAAUUUCACUAAGCACCUCUAAGGUUUAGAAAAAGAAACUUAUUCAUCUCUAAGAUGUUUUGCUUGCAGGGAAUUGUCUCUAAUUAGUUGUUGCAAGAUACGAUAUUUGCGCAGUGAAGAAAUCUUCUGACUAUUUUGGCCUUUCAAUUAUGUUUAAAUUGUCUGCUCACUUCUCCUCUUUUUUUUUUAACUUAAAAUGCAACAAAAAAUUAAACUGACAAUAAGAUGAUAGAUAGUUAAAUGAAAAAAAAAAGGGGACAAUUUUCAUUCUUUGACUCUUUGAAUUAGAUAUGAAGCAGGAUAAAUUUGUGCCUCAACAGGAUGAUAUAAAUUUGUGGCGAACUGGUUAUAAAGUUACAACUCACUGAAAUUCGCAGAGAAUCCGGUUCCCUGGCAUUGCCACCCCACCAAUCAGAGAGCAAUGCCCUUUGUGUUUCGCUGAUGUCUACAAGAAAAUGUUUACUUGAACCAUUUUUUUUUCAAAAAAAAAAAAAGAAGUUGUAUCUUGUUACUGCAAUUGCAGCACUCCUCUGUACAAACGAUCUGGUCGCGCAAAUCCAACUCUACUACAACAUUAAGGAUGGAAAAGAAGCGCGUCGCGGGCGGGCUUGAAGGAUGCAGUAGGGUUCAUAUAAACUGGAACCGCAUCAGAAGCCUUACAGAUCUAAGUUUCUCUCCUUUCUUAUCGUAAAUUGGAACUGCUCGGAUCCCCGGUCUCAACUCCGAAACAGGCAAGCAUGUCUGUCCCCCAAAAUCAUCCUUCUCCGACAUGUCAUGCUCACGGAUUUCAAUCCGAAGCAAAGCUAACUCAGGAACUGUCAAUGGGAAUGUGAAAUCCUCAUCCCAUAUCGGUCCCCAGUCAUCCUCUAUUAUCCUCGUCUUUUUCUUGGCCUCAUCUGCAGGCACUCCUACCAUCUGAACCUGCAGUUCAUGAGGAAAUUAUCUUAGGCUCAACCUAUUGAACAAGAUUUAAUAUGUUAAGGAGGAAACAAAACAGAAGAAAUAGAUGAACGCGUCAACAGAAGCAGCAGAUUGCAACAAUAUAUCAGUUCAGCCACUCAUUACAUGGGUAUAAGCUCGCCAGAAGUUCCAUUUUCGAACGUCUUAAAAGUUACCAUCGCAUCAAAACAGGAAAUAUCAUAUCAUAUCUAUCAGGAUAACACUUUUAAACCAAUUUUAGUCGCUGACCUUUGUGUAGAAGUCUGGCGGUGAAUAUGAAUCAAAAUGUGUGUGACUGAAAUCUAAUCGCCAUCCAUCUCCCAAAUACACGCUUACCUGUGGAAAAAAUGAUUAAGCUGUAAUUAAUAUAAGUCAUCGGGCGGUUGGAGUUUGCAAUAGCCACUGUCAGAAAGGUGCUCACCUUUAAAGUUUUCUUAACUGGCAAUUUUACUUUAGGAUCAAAUAGCUCAUUCCGCGGUCCCCUUUUCAUGAGAAAGUCAGGCUUCUUAACGUAACCGCAACCUCCAUUAGAUCCGAACAACCCAUGCAUCAACCAAAGUGAUUUUCCAUACCCCUGUUUGUUUGGGUUAAGAAAGAAAAUGAUUUCACUAAAUCCGUUGGUGAAAAGAAUCCUCAACUAAGAUGAAUACAUGCCGACACAAAUGUGGUAAUCAUAAUCAAAUUAUGAAAGUCGAUUGCUUGCUUGUGUACUGUUUCUGUGAUGCAUGUUACCAUUGAUGCAACAGAAGUCAUUGAUGGUUUAUCCCUCGCACAAACUGCUUGUCCAUGCUGACAUGUGAGCAUGGAGCAGUGUAUAGAUGCUGUAUUAGCAGAUUUGCAUGACAUUCUACUUGGAUCACUAUUUACGACAAAGACAAUAAGGAUUUCUGGAAAUGCCAGAGAAGUUAAUUCAAUAAAACUUUUAAUGUAAUUAAACUGCCGGGAAGUGUUAUGUUUAAGAUAAGGACAGUGAAUGAGUGCAUGACCAAGCUCGGAUUGCCAUUCCAGGAGUUUAGGAACACAAGAUUUGAAAACUGACCUGCAUAUUGAAUGCAAGCAUUUGAGCUCCAUGCGUCCAGCCAACUAAAGGGUGAAAAUUGGACGAGGUUACUCUUGUUCCCUUUGGAAACACCCUCAGAAUAUUCUUCUGUGUAAACCUAGAAUUCAAAACUGAAUUCAGCUAAAACAAAAUGUUGGUAGAAGACCAGAUGGGACAGCUAUUGUGAACGUCAAAAGCAAUCUAGCAAUCUUCAACUUUUACUUCAAGUGAAUACCUCACAACAUCAGUUCCAUAUAAAGAUGCAGCCCUUUCAAGGUCUUGUUCAGUCAAACUAAGACGCUUAACUUUGUCCAGCCCAGUUACUAAUGCGUGCCUCAACCCCUGUUUUGCCUUCCCAGCAUGAAUAGCAAUGAGACGCUUGUACUCCGGUGCUGCUAGUUGGGAUGAUUUUUGGUUUUGGAUGUCUCCAUCUUCAUCAUCUGGAUCACUAUCGUACUGAAAUCAUAAACCAAUAAACAUUGCAGAUGAAAUUUUGAGUAAUAUUCAACGGAUGACAAGAAAGAUUCUAUGAAAUGUACCUUUGGGUCGCCCUCCAACGUAUCCUUCAUAAAAAAAUCAUCUUCAGAAGAAUCCUUUUCCGCAGGUGAAGAAGUUCCUUCUUUCUGAUUCUUUAUUUCAAGGUACUCUUUUGGUGGUUUGGUUGAAAGAAUUAUUCGAUGCUUCAAUGCUUCCGGAGAGGGAAAUUCUUCUAAGCAUCCCGACUCCGGGUAAUACAGCAUUUCUCCAAAAAUUUGAAUUACCAUCUAGAAGCAGAUAGGUUAUAUCAGUUGCAAUGUUGAUGUUUUCUCAGUCUUAAAAAAAAAGGAAGAACAAAUAGCGAGAAACUCCAACCUCUGCAACUUUAGCCUGAAGGUCCGGAGUGAGGUGAUCCUCCAAAGUAAUUAUUACAGGGUAGGGAGAUUUGACAAAAGCAUGCUCCCUAAUAGACUUCAAGCAUUUAAUGAGUGGCACUGGAGUGGUCAGCGUCCUGAAAAUGAUCAACAAGGUUAAAUUUUCUUACAUUGCCAUUUCCGGUAAGAGAAAAUUUAGAAGUGUCCCUAAAAAUAGACGCAGCAAAAUUGAAAUGUGAAUAUAUAUCAGACAAAUAGUUUCUGGCACAGAUUUCUAAAUGUGGACAACUAGAGCAAAGCAAAUGAUAGAGAAACCCAUGCUGGUUAUUUUGGGAACACGAGAAGAUAUUUGCCUAUUUAUGCAAUUACAUUACAGAUUAGAAAAUUUAUUUUAUUUUUCUUGAAAAUUUGUCAGACAGCUUAUACUGAUGUAAAACUCAUCUCACCUUCAGUGUAGUUUUAACUGGUAAUUUGGCUUUAGGGUCAAAAAUCUCAUUACCAGUCUUCAAUAAGAUAUCUGGUUUUCUAACAUAUCCACAGCCACCAUUGGCCCUGAACAUUCCACGCAUCACCCAGAGUGAUCUUCCAUAACCCUGUUGAAGAAAAUUGUCACUGAAAAUUUCCUUGAAAUAGACUUUGGCCUAAUUACUAUAAAUUAAAAUGAAAGGUGCCAAUAAAUUUACAUUGUAAUAUGCCAACAUCGAAGAACAAUAUGACAAUCAAGAUAAAAUGAUAACCUGCAUGUUUAGUGCGACCAUCUGUGCCCCAUGCAUCCAUCCAAUGAGGGGAUUGUAAUUAGAUGAGUCAAAACGUAUUCCCUUUGGGUAUACUCUCAACAAGUUCCUCUGAGUAAAACUGAAAGAGGAAUAUAGAAAAGCCUGGACAGCUUAUUAAUUGGAAAUGAUUACUUAAUUCAAGCGCAAGGUCAAGAAUUGAAGCCUAAAGAGAGGUAUUAUGGAUUAUGUUGUCGAUUGGAGCAUCAAUGCAGCAAGAUUCAAGGAUGAAACAGUACAUUUUACAGGGCCUAGAUGAUCGAACUACAUACCAUGACUAUAAAACCCCAUUAAUGAAGGCAAAAUAAGCUGAAUACAUGUGUAUCUGAGUAUCCAGCAAGAACAAUUGUUCUAACUAUGACGAUCUAUAGUAAUCAGGAUGACAUCUCUCAGGAUUACUUUUAUACCAUUUACAAUGCAGGGAAACCCCUAGAGAAGUCAAGCAAAAGCUACUGCACGAAGUAUGCACUGGUUGUAUGUUGUAGACAAAGUAACAUGAUCAACAUAGUACCUUAUAAUUUCUUUUGCAUGAGUUACAGCAGCCUUCUCAAGUUCUAGCUCACUUAAACUAAGGCGUCUCACUUUGUUAGGAUCGAGCCUCAGCCAAUCAUCCAGUCCACCCUUUCCCUUUCCAGCAUGGAUUGCAAUCAAACGUUUAUAUUCUGGGACUGCAAUUUGCUGAGACUUGCGAUCUACUUCAUCAUCGUCAUCGUCCUCAUGAGCUUCCUCUUCAUUGAGAUCAUCCUGCAACAAACAGCUUAUGUAGAAAAGUUUAAAUUGAAAACAACGCACGAAGCUGUAACUCAAAUUGUGAUUAUCAGUUAAGUAAUUGGAAUGUUCAGUCAGACCUCAUCAUUGGUCCUAGAUUUAUUAAUUGAGAUUUCUCUUCCCCAAGGUUCUGCUUCAGCUGAUUGUUUUCCUUCCUUCACUUCAUUCUGUUCUCCACUAAGGUCUUUUGCCUCUAAGUACUCCUUAGGUGGUUUAGUUGAUAUCAUAACCUUUCUUUUCAAGGAUUCUGGCGAGGGAAACUCUCUUAGACCGUCUGAUCCAGGUACGAACAGCAUAUCUCCAAAUGUUUCAUUAAUCAUCUAAGAUUUUUUAGACAUUGCAAAUGUUAGCAGUAGAGCAAUGAAAGUACUAG